rnacentral:lncRNA from 1 species
GGUGGGGAUGUUGAAGGCCCCACUGGUGGCAUGGGUGGGGAGGUUCAAGACCCCACUGGUAGCAUGGGUGGGGAGCUCCCUGCCACCGUGUAAUGAAACCUUUAUGAUCUACAGUACCUUUUAUGUUGUGUGUGACAGAGAAACCUUUCUCUGCCUUAUUAAUAGCAAUAAAUAAAGCACAUCACUUGUGCGUGUUCUGGAAGAAAAAUCUCAGUGCUGGAAGGGUUAAUCUUCUCUUUGUGAGAAUUAACCGUGCCCUAGAAAUAAGCCGAUGAGGAUAAAUAAGAUGUGGUGCUACAGUACAUCAUGAGGAUUACUCAUCAAUAUUGGAUUAGUCAUCAAGAGGAUGCUUUUCCAAUGAGCUGUAGUACAUCAGACCUUACAUACCUCCAUUAUGUGCAUAUGAGUGAAUGAACAAACUAUUUUGUGCUCAUUUAGCGAUUGUAUAUGGGUCCAUCAUUUUGGAUUGCAUGUUCACGAUUACCACUCGCAUGGCUUUGACUAAUGUUACGUGGUA